rnacentral:rRNA from 1 species
UACAGAGGUCUCAAGCGUUGUUCGGAUUCAUUGGGCGUAAAGGGUGCGUAGGUGGCGCGCUAAGUCAGGUGUGAAAUUUCGGAGCUUAACUCCGAAACUGCAUUCGAUACUGGCGUGCUUGAGGACUGGAGAGGAGACUGGAAUUCAUGGUGUAGCAGUGAAAUGCGUAGAGAUCAUGAGGAAGACCAGUGGCGAAGGCGGGUCUCUGGACAGUUCCUGACACUGAGACACGAAGGCCAGGGGAGCAAACGGG